UCACUUUUUUUUUCUUUAGAUAUCUGAAAAACUCUUUCUUCCGUCUCCCUACUGAAGCAAGAGCUCUGCUAGGGUAUAGAGAGAUCCUCUCAUCUCCAAGCUAACGAAACUCAUCCCACCUCCAACUCACUACUCUAGCUCUUGGAGCUGUGGUGCUCUUUAAUUGCGGACUUGUUGCUUUUGCUAGUGUUUUAAAAGAUAAGAGAAAUGUUGAAGGUGGAUCUCAUGGCGGUAGUGGUGCAAUUUAGUUGGUUUGAUGUAUGUGGCUCUUAGGAGCAGUUUUAUGGCCCUAGUGCUUUUUUUAUAAUUUCCUGCUCUAGGAGCAACCCUUCUGUAAACUGUUGAACCUUUUUGGGACUAUGUUCUGCUCAUGGCAUUUUGGUGUGCCUUGGCAUCUUUUAAGCACUUUCAUGGAUGACUGUAAAUAGUGGAACUUUAUGUAUACUAUUCAUUUGAUUGCUCUUUUAUUACUAAAAUUAU